rnacentral:snRNA from 1 species
AUCUUUUCUUGGCUUUUUAGCUAAAAAAAAAAAAAAAAAUCUGUUUCUUAUCAGUUUAAUAUCUGAUACGUCCCUACCCGGGGACCAUAUAUAAAUUGAUUUUUGGAGCAGGGAGAUGGAAUAGGGGCUGCUCCGUCCACUCCACGCAUCGACCUGGUAUUUGCAGUAUUUCUAGGAACGGUGCACCCCUG